UUAACCAUGACUUAAAUAAACAUAGCACCAGCCACAGAUGUUGGAAAAGCAGUAUUGUCCAGGAAUAUUGCUGCCCAGAAAGCAGGCACUGCUGACUUUGAAGAGUAGCCUCUUGGAUGUGGUUGACAAGCACACUUCACUUUGAGAAAAGGGGAAAUCGCAAUUGUGAAAAUAGAGCACAACAGAGUUUGAAAUGCUGUGAGAUGACAUUGCCUGAGUCUUUUUUCAGUAAAAAUAGUAAGGAGAUCAGAUGGAGCAAGAUGGCCAAAUGGAACCCUUUAUUGAUCAUCCCCCUGCAGGAACACCAAAUUGAACAACCAUCCACACAAGAAAGUACCUUUAGAAGAACCAAAAAAUCAGAACUCUGCAAGCAGCCACAGUGAGGUGCUGGGCGGGGCCACAACCUGGAAGCAGACCUGGAAGGAGGGAGGACUGGCACACAUGGCCUGCUG